ACGGGAGGCAGCAGUGGGGAAUAUUGGACAAUGGGGGAAACCCUGAUCCAGCGACGCCGCGUGAGUGAAGAAGUAUUUCGGUAUGUAAAGCUCUAUCAGCAAGGAAGAAAAUGACGGUACUUGACUAAGAAGCCCCGGCUAACUACGUGCCAGCAGCCGCGGUAAUACGUAGGGGGCAAGCGUUAUCCGGAUUUACUGGGUGUAAAGGGAGCGUAGACGGCAUAGCAAGUCUGAAGUGAAAUGCAUGGGCGCAACCCAUGAACUGCUUUGGAAACUGUUAAGCUAGAGUGCAGGAGAGGUAAGUGGAAUUCCUAGUGUAGCGGUGAAAUGCGUAGAUAUUAGGAGGAACACCAGUGGCGAAGGCGGCUUACUGGACUGUAACUGACGUUGAGGCUCGAAAGCGUGGGGAGCAAACAGGAUUAGAUACCCUGGUA
rnacentral:rRNA from 1 species